rnacentral:rRNA from 1 species
AGCAGCCGCGGUAAUUCCAGCUCCAAUAGCGUAUAUUAAAGUUGCUGCAGUUAAAAAGCUCGUAGUUGAAUUUCGGGACUAAUAUGUCGGUCGUGCCUCGGUACGUACUGGUUUAUUGGUUUCUCCUUUCUGAAGAACCAUGAUGUCAUUUAUUUGAUGUCGUGGGGAAUCAGGACUGUUACUUUGAAAAAAUUAGAGUGUUUAAAGCAGGCUCACGCUUGAAUACAUUAGCAUGGAAUAAUGAAAUAGGACGUUUGAUUCUAUUUUGUUGGUUUCUAGGAUCGACGUAAUGAUUAAUAGGGAUAGUUGGGGGCAUUAGUAUUCAAUUGUCAGAGGUGAAAUUCUUGGAUUUAUUGAAGACUAACUACUGCGAAAGCAUUUGCCAAGGAUGUUUUCAUUAAUCAAGAACGAAAGUUAGGGGAUCGAAGACGAUCAGAUACCGUCGUAGUCUUAACCAUAAACUAUGCCGACUAGGGAUCGGAUGAUGUUAAUUUUUAAUGACUCAUUCGGCGCCUUACGG